rnacentral:rRNA from 1 species
CCUACGGGAGGCAGCAGUGAGGAAUAUUGGUCAAUGGGCGGGAGCCUGAUGGAGCAACGCCGCGUGCAGGAUGAAGGCCUUCGGGUUGUAAACUGCUUUUAUAAGCGAGAAAUAUGAUGGUAACUUAUGAAUAAGGAUCGGCUAACUACGUGCCAGCAGCCGCGGUCAUACGUAGGAUCCGAGCAUUAUCCGGAGUGACUGGGUGUAAAGAGUUGCGUAGGUGGAAUAAUAAGUAGCUAGUUAAAUCUGGUGGCUCAACCAUUCAUACUAUUAGCUAAACUGUUAAGCUCGAGACCGUUAGAGGUAACUGGAAUUUCUAGUGUAGGAGUGAACUCCGUAGAUAUUAGAAGGAACACCAAUAGCGUAGGCAGGUUGCUGGGACGGUUCUGACACUAAGGCACGAAAGCGUAGGGAGCAAACGGGAUUAGAUACCCCUGUAGUC